GUAGGUGAACCUGCGGAAGGAUCAUUGAUAAUUUUGGCUUUGCAAUAAAAUAAUAUGUGAAUGCUUUUUUGUUUUAAAAGGUGUCGUACGUCAUUCUUGCUCUUGACAUGUUGCGUUAGGGCUUUUUUGAAUAUGAACAUAAAUGGACAUUAUUUUAUGUCAAGUUGGAUUUGUUGGUUGUCUGAUUAAUCAUAUGAUGACUCAUAGCAAUGGAUAUCUUGGCUCUUGUGCCGAUGAAGAACGUAGCAAGAUGCGAUACUUGUUGUGAAUUGCAGAAUCUCGUGAAACAUUGAUUAUUUGAACGCAAGUUGCGCCUGAAAUUUCUAAAUUGAGGGCAUGUCCGCUUGGGCAUCAUCGAUUUUUAUGUCAUUGAAUAUAUGUGGCGUAGAAUGGUUUCCCGUAUUAUGUGCGGUUGGCUAUAAAACUAAGUGUGUUUCAUUGGCAUGAUAUUUAUGGUGAUUUUCAAUUGACUUGUAUAUUGUGCUCUUUUGAAAUAUAUUUUUUAUUUAAUAUGCGUUAAUUAAAACGUUAUCAUAAAUGUGACCCCAAGUUGGAUCGGACUACCCGCUGAGUUUAAGCAUAUCAAUAA
rnacentral:rRNA from 1 species